GUUCUAAAACCCUAAACCCACUUUCAUCGCAGAGCUGUUGGCAUUCUCUUCCACCAUUAAUCGAGAAAAAAUAAAGAAUUAAUACCAACCUAAAAAAAUCCUGAAAUGGUUUCUCGUUAUUCUUUGCGCAGCUUCUCCUUCUCUGCAACUAAAAAGUCCAUGUUGGCUCUUGUUUCUCACUUGUCCCAACCCCAAAACUACAGUUCCCUUUCUAGAAUCACCAGAAGCUACGCUUCUGUUUCAUCUCCACUGUAUAAAAAACCCUUCAAUCCUCCAUUUCAAGUGAGAUCGGUGGCAACUACUCCUGAAACUGUUGCUGGGUUUGAUGAGAUGGUUGCUGGGACUCAACGCAAGUAUUACAUGUUAGGUGGAAAGGGAGGUGUUGGAAAAACAAGUUGUGCGGCUUCUCUUGCUGUGAAAUUUGCUAACCAUGGGCAUCCUACUAUUGUGGUAUCAACUGACCCUGCCCACUCCUUAAGUGAUUCUUUUGCUCAGGAUUUGACUGGAGGAAAGCUUGUACCUGUUGAAGGAGUGGAUUCUCCUCUAUUUGCUCUUGAGAUAAACCCUGAGAUAGCUCGGGAAGAAUUCCGUUCUGCCAGUCAAAAGAGUUCUGGCGGUGGCAUGAAAGAUCUUAUGGAUAGCAUGGGCCUUGGAAUGUUAGCUGAUCAGUUAGGGGAACUAAAACUAGGAGAGUUGCUGGACACUCCCCCACCUGGUCUGGAUGAAGCUAUUGCAAUUUCAAAGGUUAUGCAAUUUAUAGAUUCACAAGAAUAUAGUACAUUUACUCGGAUAGUGUUUGAUACUGCACCCACGGGCCAUACACUCCGGCUUCUGUCCCUACCUGACUUCUUGGGUGCAUCCAUAGGAAAAAUAAUGAAGAUGAAGGAGAAGUUAGCUUCAGCAACUUCAGCUCUCAAGUCUUUUCUUGGGAAAGAAGAAACACGGCUAGAUGCUCCUCACAAGCUUGAGCAACUAAGAGAGAGGAUGGCAAAAGUGCGGGACCUUUUCCGCGACAAGGACACAACCGAAUUUGUUAUAGUGACAAUUCCUACGGUUAUGGCAGUGAGUGAGUCAUCAAGGUUACACGCAUCCUUGAGGAAGGAAGGUGUUCCUGUUCAGAGGCUUAUUGUUAAUCAGGUUCUACCUCCAUCUGCAUCAGACUGCAAGUUUUGCACAAUGAAAAGGAAGGAUCAGAUGCGUGCCCUUGAUAUAGUAAAGACUGAUUCAGAGCUUGCCAGUUUGAGAUUAAUCCAGGCACCUUUAUUUGAUGUAGAGAUAAGGGGUGUUCCUGCUCUUAAAUUUAUGGGGGAUGCAGUUUGGAGAUAAAAUUAUCGACUUCAGAAUAUCUGCGUAUGAUUUUGUGAGCUAUCUUGUCCUAGAAACCACCUAUUCAUAUCUAGCAACUAGUUUUGUUUAAUUUAAUAUAGUUACUGAGCGAUCUUCAUUAAUAUGAUGGCUGGGACAAAGGGGCGAAUGAACUUUUUUGUGGUUCCUUCUGUGAGUUAUGCUCCCGGUAUAUAAUAUUGAAUGCUGUCACUGAUUUUGAGUUAGGAUGAUGCGUACGUACAAAGAUUUAUGCUUUUAAGUAAACAAAAAUGAAAGUGCGUGGAAUAGUUUUGGCUUCUAAUGUGAAGUGACUCAUUCAAGCUGGUUAUAUAGAGGAUUGGAGGAGACUUACAUGUGGAAAG